GUCUUCUUGGUUGUUACGUGGAC
rnacentral:siRNA from 1 species